CGCUCGACAUCAGAGUUUGAUCCUGGCUCAGGACGAACGCUGGCGGCGUGCCUAACACAUGCAAGUCGAACGGGGUAUUUCUUCGGAGAUACUUAGUGGCGAACGGGUGAGUAACGCGUGAGAAACCUGCCUUUCAGUGGGGGACAACAGUUGGAAACGACUGCUAAUACCGCAUAAUGUCAUUUGAGGGCAUCCUCGAAUGACCAAAGAUUUAUUGUUGAAAGAUGGUCUCGCGUCUGAUUAGCUAGAUGGCGGGGUAACGGCCCACCAUGGCGACGAUCAGUAGCCGGUCUGAGAGGAUGAUCGGCCACAUUGGAACUGAGACACGGUCCAA
rnacentral:rRNA from 1 species